rnacentral:rRNA from 1 species
AGUGAACGCUGGCGGCGUGCUUAACACAUGCAAGUCGAACGAGAACGGGAUAUAGCUUGCUAUAUUUGUCAGCUAAGUGGCGCACGGGUGAGUAAUGUAUAGAUAACCUGCCCUCUAGAAAGGAAUAACGGUUGGAAACGACUGCUAAUGCCCUAUAUGCCUUUAAUACAUAAGUAUGCAAGGGAAACGCUUUAGUGCUAGAGGAUGGGUCUGUAUGGUAUCAGCCUGUUGGUGAGGUAAUGGCUCACCAAGGCUAUGACGCCUAACUGGUUUGAGAGGCUGAUCAGUCACACUGGAACUGAGACACGGUCCAGACUCCUACGGGAGGCAGCAGUGGGGAAUAUUGCACAAUGGACGAAAGUCUGAUGCAGCAACGCCGCGUGGAGGAUGACACAUUUCGGUGCGUAAACUCCUUUUAUGUAGGAAGAUAAUGACGGUACUAUAUGAAUAAGCACCGGCUAACUCCGUGCCAGCCGCCGCAGUAA